AGGGUGUAUCCAGCAGCUUGAUUCAUCAGCAGAAACAAAAACAAAACAUUUGAAGCUCUAGACAAUGCUCUUGAUCAAUGUUGUAAUCAUAACAUUUGUCAGGUGUGUGUAUGUGGCUCCAACACUUGUGAUCUAGCAGCUAUGAGACUGGUGGUAUUGGCCCCAUGAAUCUUAUUUUUUUAAAGCUGGGUGAAGAAACAGUACAGUUAGUUUCGUGCAACAAGAAACAACAAAUACAGCAAAUAAGCGUCAAUUUCGAACUGCGUAGGAAAAGAUAUGAUUCGGGGGCAAAAGUUGAUUUUGAGUGACGAGGAAUUUUCGGAACGCUAUCGCCUGUACUGCUAUUCGUGUGCGUCGUUAGCAUUGCGGAAAAGUUCAUGAAUUGCCGGAGUGAUUCUUUGUCAUGGUAAUUUUAAAUCACAUGGAAUCCAUUACAAAUUUAAACGCCGGGUAUCAUCGUCAGUGACAGAACCGUAGAUGGCAGUACAGGAUCUGGAAAAAGAAAUAUUGAAAUAAUGGUAAACAGAACCUAACCACUUCCCUGGAAACGUUGAAAUAUGAAAUAGCCAAACAAAGAAUGUUACCUGUGAGGUAAUCCAAAAAUCAACAUUAUGAUGAAAAUAGAAGAACAUUGACUGGAAAAGCAAGUUUGCUGGAGCUGCUGUAGUUCAUAUGCCUGCUGAUUUAUGGUGCUAAUCUAUAAAACUCUCGUUAAUUGCUACCUCCGAUAACAAAUCAUUUAAUAUUUUCACACGGUGUCUAAUUACUUUGAGAAAAGGUACUUUGGAGAUUGCGCAAAUCAUUUGACAAUCGUUGCAAAUCGU